AGUAAAAUAACAAAAACGCCUUUAAGUGGGCUGGUUUGAAUGGGAGAAAAGAAAAACUCUUCUAUUCCCAUUUUCUUUUUCUUCUGCCAUUUCCCCUUCCUCUCAAUACCCUACUUCUCCUAUCUUUUAUUCAGCAAUAAGAUCGAAGAAGGAUUUUUCCUUCAAAUUGAAGGGAUUUAGAAGGAGAUCUUUGGAGAAGGAAACUCAUUUUCAAGUUGAAACUCUAGCUAGAGAACAAAGUAUGGCUUUUGAGAUGAGAUCGGCAGACGAGUCGACAACUAUAGUUAGAUAGUAGCAUGUUAGAUCGUCUCCAUUUUUGUAUUAUGUAGAUCUUAUCUUUAUAUUUUGAAUUAUCAUUUUGAAUAUGUAAUAGGCCAUAUUGGAACUAUGAAUUGUACAAACUUGCUACUUGUUAAGUUGAAAGUAUGACCAUUUCGAAAUUUUAUUUAUGCUUAAA